AAUUUUCCGCAAUGGGCGCAAGCCUGACGGAGCAACGCCGCGUGCGGGAUGACGCUUUUCGGAUUGUAAACCGCUGUUCCCAGGGACGAAGCACUGACGGUACCUGGGGAGGAAGGCACGGCUCACUACGUGCCAGCAGCCGCGGUAAUACGUAGGGGCCGAGCGUUGUCCGGAGUUACUGGGCGUAAAGCGCGCGCAGGUGGCUCAUUACGCCCGGCGUGAAAGCCCCCGGCCUAACCGGGGAGGGUCGUCGGGGACGGGUGAGCUUGAGGGUAUCAGGGGCUGGUGGAAUUCCCGGUGUAGUGGUGAAAUGCGUAGAGAUCGGGAGGAACACCCGUGGCGAAGGCGGCCAGCUGGGAUAAUACUGACGCUCAGACACGAAAGCGUGGGGAGCAAACAG
rnacentral:rRNA from 1 species